GUCAGUAUAGUGCAGUGGUUUGGGCAUUGGACUAGAUUCUGGAGACCAGGGUUUGAAUCCCUGCUUUGUCA